rnacentral:rRNA from 1 species
ACAACCGGAGAUUGCCUCAGUAACGGCGAGUGAAGCGGCAAGAGCUCAAAUUUGAAAGCUGGCCCCUCCGGGGUCCGCGUUGUAAUUUGCAGAGGAUGCUUUGGGUGCGGCCCCCGUCUAAGUGCCCUGGAACGGGCCGUCAGAGAGGGUGAGAAUCCCGUCUUGGGCGGGGUGUCCGUGCCCGUGUAAAGCUCCUUCGACGAGUCGAGUUGUUUGGGAAUGCAGCUCUAAAUGGGUGGUAAAUUUCAUCUAAAGCUAAAUACUGGCCGGAGACCGAUAGCGCACAAGUAGAGUGAUCGAAAGAUGAAAAGCACUUUGAAAAGAGAGUUAAACAGCACGUGAAAUUGUUGAAAGGGAAGCGCUUGCGACCAGACUCGCCCUCGGGGUUCAGCCGGCACUCGUGCCGGUGUACUUCCCCGGGGGCGGGCCAGCGUCAGCUUGGGCGGCCGGUCAAAGGCCUCCGGAAUGUAGUGCCCCCCGGGGCACCUUAUAGCCGGAGGUGCAAUGCGGCCAGCCUGGGCUGAGGAACGCGCUUCGGCACGGACGCUGGCAUAAUGGUCGCAAACGACCCGUCUUGAAACACGGACCAAGGAGUCUAACAUCUACGCGAGUGUUCGGGUGUCAAACCCGUACGCGCAGUGAAAGCAAACGGAGGUGGGAGCCCCCUCGCGGGGCGCACCAUCGACCGAUCCUGAUGUCUUCGGAUGGAUUUGAGUAAGAGCGUAAAUGUGGGGACCCGAAAGAUGGUGAACUAUGCCUGAAUAGGGCGAAGCCAGAGGAAACUCUGGUGGAGGCUCGCAGCGGUUCUGACGUGCAAAUCGAUCGUCAAAUUUGGGUAUAGGGGCGAAAGACUAAUCGAACCAUCUAGUAGCUGGUUCCUGCCGAAUUUCCCCCUCAGGAAACCAACCUUCCAG